UUUCAUUCCAUUGUUCAUCAUUCUCUCUAGAAUAUCUGAGACCCUGGCAACAAGGACUUGGGAUCUUCGAAGGACAUCCGCGAUCUGCUUUGAAUUACUCAUCCGAACCAAAUCCCAAACAUCCUCAUUGGUAAAAGCCUUUGGGAUCCCAUAACAACCAACGAGAAGAAGCAAACCCCUGGAAUCAAUGUCGCUGGCUUUCCCCAGACCACCCUCAGCUAUAAGCCUCUUUCUCCAAGCCAGCGCAGCCUGCUCCGCUUCCUGCUUCACGGCGGAGUCAAAUGCCAUUGUCAAUUAUUUGCAAAAAGAAUUCCAAAACUAAAAUGCUAGCUUUUCUCCCAGGAAUCAUAGGAGAAUUCUUGGUGUAGGCCCGGCUUCCCUGCAGAUAAAACCGCCCGAUGCAAUCCAGCACUAGCUUGGCAGGAUUCUGCGCGCAUUUAAGGGCGGAAGGAACUUCAGCUCUAAGCUUCCGGAUAUUGGUUAGAUGUGAGGUAAGAUAUCUACGGAGGUCUUUGCCACACAUCAUUUCGCAAAGAAUUAAAAGCUCCGACUUGGCUGGCGCAGAACUUGUUGUGCCUGUUUCUGUUGUCGUUUGUUUGGCAGUGACUAUUGGUCUUGGCGGGAGUGCGGCAUCCAUAGCGCUCUGGAUGAAAUCAAGAUGUUUUUGCAAUUCCUGAAAUCUUCGAUAAAAUUCGUUAAUGACAGCAGAGAGAUUGCAGAGUUCGUCAAUUGAUUUAAAAAAAUGUGCUCCCUUUGGUUCAUCCCGUUUGGGUUGCUGUCGGUCAGGUACCUGAAGAGCAACAACCGAGAACUCUUGUGGUUCCUGUUUGACCUGAGAUUGUGGUGGCGCCAAUUGGUAUUGCGGUGGUGUUGGAGUGGAUUGAUGUUCCUGUUUAACAUGGGCGAGGGAAGGUGGAUGGUCGGUGGAAUUGAAGAUGGUGAAAAUGGGCAAAGGAGGUGUCGCCAUGGGAGAAGAGUAGAGAAUCUGUGCCCUAAUUUUUGAUAUAUUAUAAGUCUGAUACAACUAUGGAAGCCGAAAAGACCUAAUGAUUCACCGGUAUGAUGAAACCGUCCGGUAACGAAGCGUGGGCUUUAUUUCUCGUUUUGGUUUUUUUGAUACAACAGAAUGCUUGGGCUUUAUUUCAUGGAAGGAGAUCCUUC
rnacentral:misc_RNA from 1 species